AAUAUUGUAAAUGUAAUCUUACUUGAUAACUGUUUUGUUGUAUAUAGUUAUACUAUGUUAGAGUUAAAACUUUUCUUUCUAGAAAAAGAAGAAAAUGUUGUAGAAUGUUACUCUAAGGUGUAUUACUUUUGUCUGUGUUGUAUUUGUUUAACUCUGUAAAAAAUGUCUUACUGUGCCUGUCUAAGACCCCUGGUGGUCUAAUAAAGAACUGAAUGGCCAACAGUGAGGCAGGAGAAAAAAUAGACAGGACUGUCAGACACAGAGUAUAAAUAGAAGGAAAAAUCUGGGAGAAAAAAAAGGAGGAGCCAGAGAAGGAGGAAACACCUGGGGUCGGCCACCCAGCUCCACAGUCAGCCAUGGGGUAGGAGUGAAAGUAAGAUUAUGGCAGAAGAAAAGGAAAAGCCCAGAGGGAAAAGGUAGAUGGAUAAUUUAAGUUAAGAGAAGUUGACAGGACACAAGCCAAGCUAAGGCCAAGCAUUUAUAAUUAAGAAAAUAAUAAGACUCCGUGUAUGUAUUUGGAAGCUGGGUAGCAGCCCCCGUAAAAGUGAUACUACCAGCAAUAAUUGGGUGACCUCAACUGAUACACAUUUAACAUCCAUCCAUUUUCCUGUAAAUUUUGUGAUUAUAAUUUUUUAGGGCUAAAUAGCAUACCCUCUGUGUGUGCGUCAUAAACAUAUACAUUUUUAUUUACCGCCUUAUUUUCUAUUAAUAUGUUCUUGGACAUCUGUGUCGGCUCAGGUUCUUUACAAUUGAGAAUAAAGAAGCAAUAAACAAUUAUAUCUAUAGUGCGGUGUGCGGUUCCCUGAGCAUAAGCCCAGGGCUGAAAUAGUGGGGGCAGUGCAGAGACUACAGUUCUGGUUCCAGUGGUCACUGCAGCACUCAUAGCCUGUGCUGUUGUGGUCUCAGAGGCUAUGUGUGUCUGUGACUCUAACCACAUCCUGGAGAUGGUAGACUGCACUGCAUCUGACGUUUAGUACCUGCCUUCUGCAAGCAUCCAAGGGGUGACCAAGGAUUUGAUUCCCUGUGGUCCCCUGACUGCCUAGUGAACAGCCAGACCAACAUGCACAGACUUCUGAUGUCACUGGAAGGAAAUUCUGGUUGCAGGCUGCUCUCCUGUGGCUGUGAGGCUGGGCACCGUUUUAUAUGUUUGGACCUGUACAGCCUUGUUUCCACAGUUAACCUGAGGCCGCAUGUAGUUAUGGCGAGCUAUGUACUCCAAGUUGGGCAAAAUGGCUGGAUGCAUUAUCUGUGUUUAUGCAGAUUCCUUUAUACCAGGAGAUAAACAUUGGUACUCUUGGUUGGACUUAGGCAGCCUGUUAGCUGUUUUAAUCACACAAUGUCUACUUUGGAUAUUUGCUGAUCUCCUUUUCUCUGUCUCAGAGUCAAGGCACUGACUCAGGACAGAAGAUUAGGAGGACCCUUAGAGAUGCACAUUCUUAGGGCUGCUGUAGGGACACCAAACCCUGGAUUCCACAGCUUAUAUUCCUAUAUAUUUAAAAUUAGCAAUACUCCAAAAGGCAUUGAUUCUAUGUAUUUGAAAAGUGGAAACAUAAACAAGAGUAGCCGGGUGUGUUGGGGUAGGAAGCAAGGCAGACCACAGUCACAGGACAGAGGAAUCUCAAGGACAGAGGACAGAGGAAUCUCAAGGACAGAGGGAAUACCCUAUCACAGUUACAGGAAGCAGGCUUGGCGACCCAUUAGAAAGAACUGGCAUUAGGGACAAGUGUGACUUCUUUAGCUGGAGAGCCGCACAGCUAAGGAGCCCCCCAGCACAGAAAAGUGGUCCCACACCCAUAGUCACUGUGAGUUGGGAGCGGCCUCCCUGGCUCCGUAGUCUGCUGGAUGAUUAGGGUUUCAGGAGGGUAAAGAGGUGGAGGGUGACUGCUGGGAUACUGCUGUCAUGGCAGCUCCAGCUCAGGAACCUCCUGGACCCCACAGGCUGUCCUUUCUGGGUUUCCUCACCUCGGGCUGUGAGCACAGCAAAUUUGCCUUGUAUCCAGUCCAUGCAUCGGGCACUGGGCUCCUUUAAUGUAACUGGAGACUUAAUAAAGGUUCAUCAAAGCCUGUU